CCUACGGGAGGCUGCAGUGAGGAAUAUUGGUCAAUGGGCGCAAGCCUGAACCAGCCAAGUCGCGUGAGGGAUGACGGUCCUAUGGAUUGUAAACCUCUUUUGUCGGGGAGCAAGGCCCGCCACGUGUGGCGGGAAGGAGAGUACCCGAAGAAAAAGCAUCGGCUAACUCCGUGCCAGCAGCCGCGGUAAUACUGAGGAUGCGAGCGUUAUCCGGAUUGAUUGGGUUGAAAGGGUGCGGAGGAGGAAGGUUAAGGCAGCGGUAAAAGGUCGGUGCUCAACACCGGACUGCCGUUGAAACUGGUCGUCGUGAGUGAGCGAGAAGUAUGCGGAAUGCGUGGGGUAGCGGUGAAAUGCAUAGAUAUCACGCAGAACUCCGAUUGCGAAGGCAGCAUACCGGCGCUCAACUGACGCUGAGGCACGAAAGCGUGGGGAUCGAACAGGAUUAGAUACCCUUGUAGUC
rnacentral:rRNA from 1 species